UACGUAGGGGGCAAGCGUUGUCCGGAAUCAUUGGGCGUAAAGCGCGUGUAGGCGGUUCGGUAAGUCUGCUGUGAAAGUCCAGGGCUCAACCCUGGGAUGCCGGUGGAUACUGUCGGGCUAGAGUGCGGAAGAGGCGAGUGGAAUCCCGGUGUAGCGGUGAAAUGCGCAGAUAUCGGGAGGAACACCAAUUGCGAAGGCAGCUCGCUGGGACGUCGACUGACGCUGAGACGCGAAAGCGUGGGGAGCAAACAGG
rnacentral:rRNA from 1 species